UACGGACACGCAAAAGAACCUGCGUGUCUCGUGUCGGAAACGUGUCGGACACGGACAUGCGAAAAUCCGUGUCCGACACGCCAAAUGAAGUGUCUAAUAUUUUAAUAUUUUUUCGGACACGUGGACACGGCAAGGACACGUUUUUAAAAAAAAAAUUAAAAAAUUGAAAACAGAGAACCAGAAGUCCAGAACACGCGAAUUCCCUCUCAAUUCCCACUCUUGCUCUCACUCCUCUCAACUCUCUUUCACUCUAACCCUAAAAACUCUACACAACUCUUUCUCCACGGCCACUGUUGCUGCCGCACUCCCGCACCACGCCACCGCCGGCUGCUGCUCCAUCACAGACGCCUUCCGCCGCUGCUGCCUGGUGCUUUGAGCCUUUGACGUUGUCGGUGCUUUGCGUUCAAUCAUGUCUAGUAAUGGGGCUAGUGGCUCUGAUUCAUGCAAUGUUAGUGGUGAUGCUACAAAUAAAGAGGUUGAUUUCGGUUCUUGAUGAGUCCGAGUUGGAAUUUACUUUUGUAGCGGAGGAUGAUGAUGGAUGUCAUAUGGAUGAUGUGUGAUGAUCAAACUUAAAUUUACCUAUUUAUUUGGUUUUCUUUGAUUUGGUUUGUAUGACUAUUUUUAAAUACUCAUGUUAUUUAUUUGGUACUUUUUUGCA